rnacentral:rRNA from 1 species
GUAAGGAAUAUUGGUCAAUGGACGAAAGUCUGAACCAGCCAUGCCGCGUGAAGGAUGAAGGCCCUCUGGGUUGUAAACUUCUUUUAUCUGGGACGAAAAAAGGGUAUUCUUACUCACUUGACGGUACCAGAGGAAUAAGCACCGGCUAACUCCGUGCCAGCAGCCGCGGUAAUACGGAGGGUGCAAGCGUUAUCCGGAUUCCCUGGGUUUAAAGGGUGCGUAGGUGGGUAUUUAAGUCAGUGGUGAAAUCACCGAUCUUAACUCGGAAACUGCCAUUGAUAAUAUUGACCUUGAAUGCCCUGGAGGUAAGCGGAAUAUGUCAUGUAGCGGUGAAAUGCUUAGAUAUGACAUAGAACACCAAUUGCGAAGGCAGCGUACUACGGGGUGAUUGACACUGAGGCACGAAAGCGUGGGGAGCAAACAGGAUUAGAUACCCCUGUAGUCC